rnacentral:siRNA from 1 species
AACCUUGAAUGGUUACAGCGGCC